UCCCUGAUGGUCCAGUGGUUAGGGCUUUGUACUUCCACUGCAGAGGGCAUAGCUUCAAUCCCUAGUUGGAGAA
rnacentral:tRNA from 1 species